AGGUGAUGCACACGCCUGGGGGAGGAGAGUGAAAAGAGAUCAGGGACUAGUAGCGUUACAGCUGAGAUUGGAUGAGUUCUGUGGGAUGCUGUUUGAGAUGUAUUUUCCCAACAGUGUGAAAUAGAAGCUCGAGGAGGAUUUGAAGAGGAUUCAGCAGGAGGAUCGGGCAGUGCAGGAGUACAUUCGGGAGUUUACUCGACUCCUGAACUGUGUG
rnacentral:lncRNA from 1 species